rnacentral:rRNA from 1 species
AGAGUUUGAUCAUGGCUCAGGAUGAACGCUGGCGGCGUGCCUAACACAUGCAAGUCGAGCGAUUCUCUUCGGAGAAGAGCGGCGGACGGGUGAGUAACGCGUGGGUAACCUGCCCUGUACACACGGAUAACAUACCGAAAGGUAUGCUAAUACGAGAUAAUAUGCUUUUAUCGCAUGGUAGAAGUAUCAAAGCUUUUGCGGUACAGGAUGGACCCGCGUCUGAUUAGCUAGUUGGUAAGGUAACGGCUUACCAAGGCGACGAUCAGUAGCCGACCUGAGAGGGUGAUCGGCCACAUUGGAACUGAGACACGGUCCAAACUCCUACGGGAGGCAGCAGUGGGGAAUAUUGCACAAUGGGCGAAAGCCUGAUGCAGCAACGCCGCGUGAGCGAUGAAGGCCUUCGGGUCGUAAAGCUCUGUCCUCAAGGAAGAUAAUGACGGUACUUGAGGAGGAAGCCCCGGCUAACUACGUG